CAGCAGGUAAAGUCUUGAACACAAUCUAGCUUUCAUCUCUUGCGACCUCAGUCUCAUAACCAGCAGAGUUCCCAUUGGUUCCCACUGGUCCCAAUGGUCUUCAGCCUUUGGACAUCGUUUUGUCUUUUAGCUUGGCAGAGCCAUCAAGAUGACUAAAGGUGUUUCCUGAUAAGCCUGACAGCCUUGGUUGGAUCUCAGGACUCACAUGGUAGAAGGAGAGAACUGAUCUUUGCAAACUGCCUACUAACCUCCACAUGUGGUGCACACAUGCAUAAAUUCAUAAAUAAAUUAAAUGAAAAACAAAAGUCAACUGAAAAGUAACUCAAGAAUAAACCUGCCAUCUU
rnacentral:lncRNA from 1 species